AAAUACUAGGGGUGCUUUUUAGCUGAGAGAAUAAACUAUCGUAUUCAACCCUUUGAACCUGAUGUGGUUAGUACCAAUGUAGGGAAGUGAGCUUGUU
rnacentral:ncRNA from 1 species